UGAGGAAUAUUGGGCGAUGCCCGCAAGGGUGACCCAGCAACGCCGCGUGGAGGAUGAAUGUCGUAAGAUUGUAAACUCCUGUUAGAGGGGAAGAAUAGUACCGGUUGGACCGGUAUAUGACUGUACCCUCAGAAUAAGCUCCGGCUAACUUCGUGCCAGCAGCCGCGGUAAUACGAGGGGAGCUAGCGUUGUUCGGAAUUACUGGGCGUAAAGCGCGCGUAGGCGGUUUUUUAAGUCAGAGGUGAAAGCCCGGGGCUCAACCCCGGAAUUGCCUUUGAAACUGGAAAACUAGAAUCUUGGAGAGNUCAGUGGAAUUCCGAGUGUAGAGGUGAAAUUCGUAGAUAUUCGGAAGAACACCAGUGGCGAAGGCGACUGACUGGACAAGUAUUGACGCUGAGGUGCGAAAGUGUGGGGAGCAAACA
rnacentral:rRNA from 1 species